rnacentral:rRNA from 1 species
GAUGAACGCUAGCUACAGGCUUAACACAUGCAAGUCGAGGGGUAACGAGAGGAAAGCUUGCUUUCCUUGUUGACGACCGGCGCACGGGUGAGUAACGCGUAUCCAACCUGCCCCCAACUAGGGAAUAACCUUGCGAAAGUAAGACUAAUACCCUAUAAUUUCCUCAGAUGUCAUAUGACGAGGAAUAAAGAUUUAUCGGUUGUGGAUGGGGAUGCGUCUGAUUAGCUUGUUGGCGGGGUAACAGCCCACCAAGGCAACGAUCAGUAGGGGUUCUGAGAGGAAGGUCACCCACAUUGGAACUGAGACACGGUCCAAACUCCUACGGGAGGCAGCAGUGAGGAAUAUUGGUCAAUGGGCGGAAGCCUGAACCAGCCAAGUAGCGUGCAGGAUGACGGCCCUAUGGGUUGUAAACUGCUUUUAUACAGGAAUAAAGUUAGCCACGUGUGGUUAUUUGUAGGUACUGUAUGAAUAAGGACCGGCUAAUUCCGUGCCAGCCGCCGCGGUAA